GUUCAUAAGGUCUUCAAAUGGAGCCUCAACCCAUAGGCAAACAGGAAGAUUUUGAUGGGAACUUUGGCCAGAGUUCAUACACAAAGCCAUGGAGGAGCUCUAGCGUUGUGGGGAGCUUUUCAGAUUCCUCUGUGUCUCUCCACUCUUUCCUCCUCUCUGUCUUCACUGGACUCAACUAGAUUGGGCAAAACCCUGAUUUGAAAAGA
rnacentral:lncRNA from 1 species